ensembl:lncRNA
CAAAAUGCUGCCCUUUGCUGUUGUGGAAUUUCUGGAUUUCUGUACUGUCGCCAUUAAGAAACUGGUUUACUGGUUCAGAGGAAGAGGAGUGUUACUGGCCACCUUCCUCCACAGCCAACACUGACCAAUUCGUUAGAGAGGGAGGGAAGAAGCCCACAAGAAGACUGGUUAAAAUUCCAAGUGUGGGUUUUGGGAAAAGCUGCUGGCUGUCCCACUGCCAGGACAAAGCUCCGCAAAGCUGAAGUGUCCUCAGAUCUACAGACAGAUCCAGAACCAGAGGGGGUCAAGCGCAAAAGAAAACCAGUUCAGCCCAGUGGAUUGGCAGUGAGGGAUGGAAUGUUUGUCCGUAUACUGACAGUACUAGAAGAAAUAAAGGAUUAUCAGAAGGUACAGGGAAGCAUGUUACAGUCUCUUCUGCAAAAAGAACAUGACAGUGGGGUUCCUGUCUUGCCCAAGGGGGUUGCCUUUCCAUUGAAGAACUUUACUGAAGUUGAUGAUAUGGAGUUAAAGCUCUGUGAGUCUGACUUUCAGAAAAACAUUGUAAGUAUUCUCAAAACAAACAGUGUGUAUUUGUAG